rnacentral:rRNA from 1 species
GACGAACGCUGGCGACGUGCUUAACACAUGCAAGUCGAACGAUGAAGAAAAGAAUCGAAGCUUCGGCAGAAAUUCAUUUCGGAUUAGUGGCAGACGGGUGAGUAACGCGUGAGCAACCUACCUCUUACAAAGGGAUAGCCUCGGGAAACCGGGAUUAAUACCAUAUAACAUUGUGACGAAGCAUUUCGAUGCAAUCAAAGCUACGGCGGUAAGAGAUGGGCUCGCGUCCCAUUAACCGGAUGGUGAGGUAACGGCUCACCAUAGUGACGAUGGGUAACCGGACUGAGAGGGUGAACGGUCACACUGGAACUGAGACACGGUCCAGACUCCUACGGGAGGCAGCAGUGGGGAAUAUUGCACAAUGGAGGGAACUCUGAUGCAGCGACGCCGCGUGAGUGAUGAAGGAAUUCGUUUCGUAAAACUCUGUUCUAUGGGAAGAAAAGGACUGUACCAUAGGAGAAAGCUCCGGCUAAAUACGUG